ACCACUGCUCAGAAAAGAAAUUCCUUUCAAAAUAUUACUGCCCAUUGACAGUGUACCUUGUGACCCCAGAGCUCCAAUGAAGGAGAUAGGGCAGAAGUUAAGGAAUAUGGUGGCGCACGAGUCCGGUAUGGCACAUGUUUUAGUGGAGAGGACCCCGCGGUGACGGGAUGAUAUCACCUCUUCUUCCCUGGUGAAAGUCUGAGGACGUAGACUUUUUUCUCACCAUGAGUGUUACCCCAGUGGUCAAGAGUCCUGGGAUGAAGUUUGCAGAGCAGCAGCUGCUAAAGCAUGGAUGGACUCAAGGGAAAGGCCUGGGCCAGAAGGAAAAUGGCAUCACCCAGGCCCUCAGGGCGACAUUGAAGCAGGACACUCAUGGGGUGGGACAUGAUCCUGCCAAGGAGUUCACAAACUACUGGUGGAACGAGCUUUUCAACCAGACUGCAGCCAACCUGGUGGUGGAAACUGGACAGGAUGGAGUGCAGAUAAGGCACCUUUCUAAGGAGACCACCUGUCAAAAUCGUCCCAGGCCCAACUUGCUGUAUCAGAAGUUUGUGAAGAUAGCCACCCUGACUUCCGAGGGAGAGAAGCCAGAGACUUAGAGAGCUGCAGUGAUGACGACAACCAGAGGCCCAAGCUCCCAAAGAUUCUGACUGAUGAGAUGCUGCUCCAAGCCUCUGAGGAGUGAACAGCACACAAGGCUGCCCGCCUUGGGAUUACAAUGAAGGCCAAGCUUGCUUGGCUAGAGGCCCAGGACAGGCUUUCCUAGCUCAUCUUAGAGGCCAGGACUCUCAGGCCUCUCAACCACAGUCAGAGAGCAAGCCGCCCAAAAAGAAGAAAAAGAAAAGAGAGCAGAAAGAGAAGGAAGAGGCUACAGCAACUGAAAGGAACGCAGAUGAGAAGUGCCCAGAACACACUGACCAGAGCGCCAGGAAAAGCAAGAAGAAAAGGUCUUAGAUGAGACAGGGGGAACAGCUAUAGGGGAUGAGGAGGAAGAGGCUACAGGAACAGGUGGGCUGAGGGAAUUGAGCAGAGGGCCAACUGAUCAGUCCCCCAGGAAAAGGAAGAGAAAAAAGAGGCAGCACCAUGAAGAAAAGAAGAUGGGGGUCUCGGAUGAAGGAGGAAGACAUAAAGAGACUACCAGUGCUGUCAGGAUAGAAGAGGGAGAAAACACAGAGCACACUGACCCAUGCAGUGGAAGCAAGAAGAGGUGGCACCAUGAGGAUUUGAACUUAAGAGAAGACGAUGAAGUUGAGGAAACCAUUCUAGACACUGGGACCAGGGAAACAGAGGACAGAGCACACAGGAGAAGCAGGGGAAGCAAGAGGAGGACACAGCAGCUGGGAGGGAGGGAUGUGAGGGAUAAAAGAGGUGAGAAGGACAGGACCAGGGAGGCAGACAGCAGACCACACUCUGGCAUAAGCAGCAGCCAGAGGAAGAAAGCUGGAAUCAGCAGUGACCAGAGAGCCAGAAAGAAGAAACAGAAGAGAGACUGAAGGUCUGCUCAAGGGGGGCUCAACUGAUUCGCUUUCAGGAGUUGAAGCCUUAGAGACCUGGGUCAAUGCAAGUCUUCUGUGCUCCCUGAAUAAGGAGUAACUGAGCUCUGGAACGUAAGUUUGCUGACAGCGAGUGUAAUGGCACCAUACCUUAGUGUAGGGAUUGGGCAGUCCCUUCUGUAGCUUCUAACCCCAAGACCAUAAGUCAGGUGCCUAUAAGCCAGGUGGGUGAAAGACAAGGAACGUGGGGGCUGUGGGAACUGGAACACAGGUACCCUCUGAAGGGUCAU